UUCGGAGAUAGUCAAGCAGGCUGAGUGGCAGCAGAUGUGAGAGGGUGGUGUAUCGGUCGUUUUUUCUCUGUGGCCUGACGGCGUUUGUGGUCUGUGGUCUGUGCUGGGGCUGCAUGGUCCCAAGGACCAUAGAUCUGAUCCAGGCUGCCAUUUGUGUGAAGUUGGAGCACGGGAGCACUGUGGUGCUGAAUCUGCUCCGUGAGAGUUGCAGCUAGGGGAUCCCACCAGGCAACAAGAUGCUUUUCCACAAAGUCAUAGCAAAUUCUAGCUUAAAGGGAUUGAUUUGUUCACAUCGCACGGUUCAGAGCUGGCCAGCCUGGUGCACGUCCUGGCCAUUCACGUGCAGACCCAUGCCCGAUGGAGGGAGAAAUUUAACUGGACAUGAGCCUUCCCUGCCUGGGUAAGAGCAAAAAACUCGAGGAACUCCCUGAAUCCCAAGAGAGGCGGAGGACCACGCUCUGAAAAGGCCGGCUACAAUGAGAGUGACAUAGUAUCACGUCUGCAAUAACCAGCCAAAGAAGCAUGACCUGAGGAAACAUUAGAUAAAAUCAGCUGAGGAACAUUCUAUGAAGCAGUUGGUCUCUAACCUUCCAAAGUUUCAAGAUCAUGAAAGUUAAGGGAAGACUAUGGAACUGUUCCAUUUUGAAGAUAACUGAAGAAACAUGACAAGAACACCCGAAUAAUCAUCUUCCCUGCAUUAGAAUGCCCCUUUGGUUUCAGACAACAGUCAUGUGAUGUGGUAAGUGCAGAGGUGGUUUCACAAAAAGGAUUUUUGUGGGUAUAGUUCAUAGGAGAUGGAAUGUUCAGCUAAUGCACUCAGAUAACUUUUCCAUUAUUUGCAAUAAAACUUGUGCUAAAUUGAAUAUUUCCAACCCUACAUAGAGUUUUAAACAUAUAUUAGUGUGUGAGAGGGAUUCCUAUAAGUUAAUCUUGAGCAGCUCCUUUGAGAAAGUUAGGAAGCAAAUACCCAGGCUUUUGAAAUAUGCAUUAUCUGUAUGAAUAGUAAAUGUAAUGAGAUUAGAACCCUUUUCCCUCUAUCAGUAGUUGUUGGUAUUGGAUGAAAAUAUAUUUGGAUGUGUGAUCAAUUUGACUGAUUGAAGCAUUUUGAGCAGCUUUGAUAUAUAAGGUAUUGUAUAAAAUGAUAUCUGGAAGGUAUUCUAUCUAGGUUCAACUAAUCAAUCAAUACAUUUAGGAUCAAAAGCCUUUUAAGAUAACAUUCAAUAAAGUUAAAAUUGGCCGCCAAGCAAAAAAGAUCUUUUAAUCCUGUCACUGAUGUUUUUCCCCCACUGAAAGCCUUAGGAUUCAGGCUGGAGUUUGUCUUGCCUUGGUUUUCUUUUUCAUAACUCCUUUUGGAAGUUUAAGCAAGUCAACUAAUUUCACUGAAAAGUUGGAUUCUAUGAUCUCUAAAUUGCUUUAAAACUUGAAGUGGAUUUUUGGAGAUAACCAGUAUAAAAUUUUUAGAGUUUUGUGCCAGAGCAUCGUGAAUUAACUGAAGGUCUUGUGGGUAAUAGCUAAUCCGCUGAUGCAGAAAUGUGACUUAUUACUGAAAUUGACAAAUGGCUAUUGAAAUAUGCAGCUCCUGCAGCUCAAGGAUCUCUGCUUCUGUAAAUCUAAGGUGUGGCCAUAGAAAAUUCUAACACUUUCCGGAUAAGUCCAAUAGACAGCAGCUGUGAGAAAACUGAGGUUAAGUAAGUCAUUUUCUCAAUAAUUAGAAGUUAGUUUUGGUUAAAUUUUGAAAGAAAAGGAAGUACAUCUGUAAAAUAAUGACAGUUCCUUGCUUUCUUGUGUCAUUUCUACCUUGACUUAUAGAUGAAGAUAAAAAAUUGUUGGUUAUCUUUUGAAGGGAUAUGUUCCUUUUCUAAAAUUGAGUGAGACCUAUAUGCCCACCGGGAGACUGACAUUUAAUCAUAGGCUUAUAAAAUGCCUUCUCCCCCUCCCCAUCUUCCCACCCCCACUACUGGGCUCUCCUGAUGUAAUAUAGGAUUAUACCUAAAAGAUGUGCAGUAUGGGAGCUCUAUUUAUUCAGAAAUUCUUAGGAAAUCCAAAGACACACAGGGAGAUAAAAUCAAGGAACAGAGUAAAUCAAAGCCUCUGGCACCAACAGGUACAGCAAACAUUAAAUGCAGACCAACUUCUAUUACCAAUUUUGUCUGAAUUUCAAUGAAACUUUAAAAGCAUGCUAAACAUCUAGAGAAAAGUCAUAUGAUGAAACAAGGUGAGGGGGCCUGGGUGGCUCAGUCGGUUGAGCAUCCAACUUUUGAUUUCAGCUCAGGUCAUGAUCCCAGGGUCAUGACUUAGAGCCCCUUAUUGGGCUCCAU